AUUUAAAUAGUUUAAUUAAAAAUAUUGAUUUGUGGAAUCAGAGAUAUUUAUAAAAUUUUAAAUA
rnacentral:tRNA from 1 species